GAGUGCUGAAGGGUCUGGCUAAAUAAACUGUCACACAGAUAUGUUUCUAUUUACAUAGAUCAUUCUUCUUGGUGAAGCAGAAUUAAAUCCCUGCGAAGUCUAUUUGAGUAGUCAGUCAAUAAUGGGGAAAAAAAAAAAUAAAAAAUCAGUCAGUCCUGGCUAUUGAAGAUUGUUAUCCUUUUCAGUUCUUGGAUCAAUAUACUGUUGUCUUUUUCAUUCCAGGUAUGUACAGGUUGACAACUGAAGAAAACCUCUCUCUUCGAGAUUGCUUCUCAAAAGAACCAUAUUUUCUUUUUCACCCUCACGUGACACCAAGUUGGCAGUAAGUGUUGAUCUACCUGGGGGUAGUGAGGCCCCACAGAGGGAUCUGUACAACUUGAAUCACUAGGCUUAAGCCAAUGGGAUGAGGUUCAACAAGACCAAGUGCUGGGUCCUGCACUUUGUCCACAACAACCCCAGGCAAUGACACAGGCUUGGGGCACAGAGUCUGGAAGACCAUAGAGGAAAUGAACCUGGAUGUACUGAUUGAUACUCAGCUGAAGAUGAGGGAGCAGUUAAUUACCUUACCAAUUACCAUAAUUACCUUAAAGGAGGUUGCAGUGAGCUGGAAGUCAGCCUCCUCUCCUGUGUAACAGUGAUAGGAAUCGAGGGAAUAGCUUCAAGCUGUGCCAGGAGAGAUUCAGAUCUUGGGAAAGAUGUUGGGAAAUACUACUUUUCUGAAAGAGUGGUCAGGCAGUGGAAUGGGCUGCACAGGGAGGUGGUGGAGUCACCAAACCUGGCGAUGUUAAUGUUGUGCUGAGGGACGUGAUUUAGUGGAUGGUAGGUGGAUGGAUGGUUGGACUGGAUGAUCUUGUAGGUCUUUUCCAACACUGGUGAUUCUAUGAUUCUAUGAUUCCUGUUUUAAUCAUGAGUUCAGCUAUAGCAAGCUGCUGUGGGAUGAGACAACUGAUUGUUAUGAUAAAAAGGUUGGAACUAGACAAAGAAGUGUGUACAUGACUAGGAGGUGAGAAAGCAUUAGUUUGGGAAUGGAGAUAUUGCAUCUCUAAGAGCUGUGCAUCUCUGUAACUUCACUGCAUAUACACCUCCCAAACAUUUAACAUGACUCUUUCUUAAAUCAAAUCUUGAUGUAGUCUGAAAGACAUCUUUAGGAAUGUGUGGCUUUUAAUAGUUCUGCCUUUUAUAUCAGCUUAAUUGUUCUCACUUCUUAUUGCAUUUUCAUCCAGUCUGAGAAAUCAACAACAAAUACUUGUGAGACAUGAGGAGGCAAAGAAUAUGGCAAGGAAAAUAAACAGAAACUUCCCAACACUAGAGAGUGGGCUGAGAGAUGGAGACAUGAUUCUUCUAAAAGACAAAUUCUCUGUCCUGUGGAUAUGCUUCAAACACAUUUUGUUAAGCAUGGAACUGAAACAUCUUUUCACUUAAAGUAUACCACAUUAGCAUUAGUUGCUACAUUAACUUGGUCUGACUAGCUCCUUCAUCGCUACCAAUGAAUAAAGCAGAUGUCUGUUU